rnacentral:rRNA from 1 species
UACGGGGGGGGCAAGCGUUGUUCGGAAUUACUGGGCGUAAAGGGCGCGUAGGCGGCCUUCUAAGUCGGACGUGAAAUCCCUCGGCUUAACCGAGGAACUGCGUCCGAGACUGAAAGGCUUGAAUCCGGGAGAGGGAUGUGGAAUUCCAGGUGUAGCGGUGAAAUGCGUAGAUAUCUGGAGGAACACCGGUGGCGAAGGCGGCAUCCUGGACCGGUAUUGACACUGAGGCGCGAAAGCCAGGGGAGCAAACGGG